rnacentral:tmRNA from 1 species
GGGGGUGUAAAGGUUUCGACAGGCGAAGAUAGAUUCUGAUUGCGCUGGGAGGAUAGUGGUUGGCCUCUAGAAUAAUCCACUAAACAAUGAAUGCAAACAAUACAUUCGCAGCAGCAGACAACUACGCCUUCGCAGGUGCAGUUGCAGCAUAACCAGUCUUGGGCUCUACGGAACCCAAGCGAGCUAGAGGGUAGACUUAAUUCCCUGUGUAACCCUUCGGCUGUCAAAAAGAAGUAAUUGUAAUGGGACGGCGAGGAUGGUCCGAUAUUCGUCGUAUUUAGGAAUCGGUUCUUGGUGCCUUGAUUGAUGGCUUACUUUGAAUUUAAACCCGUAGUCAAUCUAUCAGCGUAGACGUUAGUUUUGAAAGUCGUUUGGACCAGGGUUCAACUCCCUGCACCUCCACCA